rnacentral:lncRNA from 1 species
CUUCACUAAGUUAUUCUUGCUUACAAAAUCUGCGGGUAUGUCAACCCUACAUUGAAAGAAAAGUGCUCUCCGUUUAAUAUCGCCUUAUUCAAAUAUUAUUGCAUGGACUGACGUGCUAUCUAUCAUUACUGUCUAAAGGAGGCCUAGUAGCCAGAUCAAGAAGAUGCAGAAUCGUUCCAUCCGUAACAGAAAAUCUGCGAUUAGAGGGGAAUCUAUUGGUGCAACACACAUCGUGUCUCUCAUGAUUCUCAAUGUGCGUCGUUUUUGGGGCGCUGUUUACUUUGGCGAAUGUCGUGGUAGUGCUCGUUUUGUUUUUUGUCAGUGGGCAAUGCCAAACAUACUCAUAUUAAUUACCCACACCAGCAAGACUAGAAGGCAAACUCGUUGGACCAGAGUCGUUGGAAAUGUUUGACGAGCAAAGGAGUCACUUGGACACAGAAGUAUUUCAGUCUAUGACAGUGGAAACAAUCCUGAUGAUGUCUACUGGAACAAGGUAGCUAAUCAAGUUAAAAAGUAUUUUCAGAAAGGGGAAUGACAACUACCUUCGUCAGAAAGAAAUAGCUGGUCCGAUAUUGUUGAUGACUCUACGUAUGAAGAUUUGUAUUUAAAAUUUGUUAGAAGCUCUCAAUCAACAAUUAUGAUAUUAUUGUUUUUAUGGGUGAAUCAGUACAACAUAGUGUAUUGCAGUUCUUUGUAAUAUGUAACCUAAUGUUAAGCUAACUACAAGUAUCUGCAUUCCAUGAGUCACUAGCAUUGAUAGUCCAAUUGCAUAGCUAAUUUACUAACUUAUUGGAACUUGUUAAAAUUAUGAUUAAAAUGUAAUAAAUCUUAUUUUUAAUUACAAGGAAUUACAGACAAGGUGUUUUUUGGGUACAGUUAUCCAGAAGUGUGGUUUCCCUAACUAAUGAAUUUAUGAUUGCCUUUGCAACGUCUCUAAGAUAUGGUGAUAGCAAAUGAUAGUAAACAAGCUAAGUAGUAGAGUGAUUAAAUAAUAAUCCGUUAGUACUGUACAGUGUUAUUAAGCUGGUUAUGAUCCAGAAUUGUGAAAUAAUCUUAAAAUAUACUAUUGAUUAUUGCAUUCUACUAAAUUGUAUUGUAUAGAUAAUAACGAUUCCGUUUUACUUUAUGCAUUAUAAUUAAACUAGUGUGGUAACUUAGAAAUAAUAUGUACUAUUUAUCUUCUCAGUAACAGCAAGCCAACUAAGUUCUCUUAUUAUGAUUAUUCAUAUUGUAUUUCAUAAUUUAAUAUUACAGUAAGAAAUACAACAUCGGAAUGACAUACUAUUACAAAAUAUUCUUAUUGGCAUAAUAAUAUGUACCACUUCAUGAUUGAUUAUUAUAGUAACCAAGAUUUCACUACAUUUUGUUCUGCAGUUUUCAUGAUAGUUAAUAAGUAAG